UGAAGUGGGAACGGAGCACGAGAUGUCUCCA
rnacentral:piRNA from 1 species